rnacentral:rRNA from 1 species
AAGAGACAGCAGUAGCCACGGUAAUACAGAGGGUGCGAGCGUUAAUCGGAUUUACUGGGCGUAAAGCGUGCGUAGGCGGCUUUUUAAGUCGGAUGUGAAAUCCCUGAGCUUAACUUAGGAAUUGCAUUCGAUACUGGGAAGCUAGAGUAUGGGAGAGGAUGGUAGAAUUCCAGGUGUAGCGGUGAAAUGCGUAGAGAUCUGGAGGAAUACCGAUGGCGAAGGCAGCCAUCUGGCCUAAUACUGACGCUGAGGUACGAAAGCAUGGGGAGCAAACAGGAUUAGAUACCCCCGUAGUCCCUGUCUCUUAUAA